GAGGGUAUAGCUCAAGUGGUAGAGUGCGUGGUUAGCAUGCACGAGGUCCUGGGUUCAAUCCCCAGUACCUCCU
rfam:Camelus ferus unplaced genomic scaffold scaffold951, whole genome shotgun sequence.